rnacentral:rRNA from 1 species
UAACGCGAAGAACCUUACCAGGUCUUGACAUCCUCUGACAACCCUAGAGAUAGGGCUUCUCCUUCGGGGGCAGAGUGACAGGUGGUGCAUGGUUGUCGUCAGCUCGUGUCGUGAGAUGUUGGGUUAAGUCCCGCAACGAGCGCAACCCUUGAUCUCAGUUGCCAGCAUUCAGUUGGGCACUCUAAGGUGACUGCCGGUGACAAACCGAAGGAAGGUGGGGAUGACGUCAAAUCAUCAUGCCACUUAUGACCUGGGCUACACACGUGCUACAAUGGGCAGAACAAAGGGCAGCGAAGCCGCGAGGCUAAGCCAAUCCCACAAAUCUGUUCUCAGUUCGGAUCGCAGUCUGCAACUCGACUGCGUGAAGCUGGAAUCGCUAGUAAUCGCGGAUCAGCAUGCCGCGGUGAAUACGUUCCCGGGCCUUGUACACACCGA